UUAAAACAAAAACAAAACCCUUAAACACAGUUUAUUUUGACCCAAAAUGGAAGGUUGUUUUGGGCGUCUCACCCUUUUUUCUAUGUAAAACAAAACUUUAGCUAAACAUCUAAACAAAACACCAUGUCAAAAUAAAGCAAGAGCAAAGUUUGGACUUUGAAGUGACGAAAACAAGCCAUUUUAGUUGUUUCUGCUGAAAGAUUUGCUGAAUUUGGCCUGAAUUCACAAGUCUUUUUGGUAUAAAGAACCCAGCCACACACACUUUUUGGUGACUUCACUGUUUGCAAGAAAAACUUCAGCCAACAGCAGUAACUAUAUCAACACACCUGAGAGCACCCAGCGAACUGGAUUCCGAAUCCUCCCCUAAACCCCACAGACUAGGCCUGAGAGAGACCAGGUGGGGGAGGGAAUCUCUUUUAUUGGGCCAAACUUCCGUUGGUGAAAUGGACACGAUUUCAAGAUGCGCAGAGCUCCCCUUCAGAACAGGCCUGUCAUCUCUACAGCAGCUAUGAGCAGGAAUCCCAGGUCUGCACAAUCAAACUCCGGGGAAGUUCCCAUUUGUACCAAACUUCAGACCUGAGCUGUGGUUGAGAUUCUCAAAGAGGCCAAAGGGAGUCUGAAUUUCCAUGAGCUGAGCUCCUAACUCCCUUAGGCUCCUGCCUAGCUCACCUUUACCUAUAAAUAUAAACUCAGAUGUUCUGCAUUUAACUAACUCAGUCUGGCGAGGAGUUUUCCUGUUUGACUAUUCUGACGCUGACCUCCUAUGAUCCCUGAAUUUCUCUCAUUACAGGUAGUUACUUAUCUGAAGAUGGAAAAAUCUACCUAGCAGUAGCAGUGGUUUGUGCAGUGCUGGUUGUAUUGGUAAUCGCCGUCAUCUACCUCAUCAGAGUACGACAGCGCAAAGGAAAAAGCUCCCCUUCUGUAAGGCUACACGAGCCCGAGAAGAGCCCCAGCACAGCUCCCCAGGAUUCUGAUGCCAACAACCUGACCUACGCAGACCUGAACUUCGACAAGCAGAAGAAGAAGAGCAAGCACCGCUUCGUGGAGAUGAGCC